rnacentral:rRNA from 1 species
UUGGUGUUACUGCGAAGGGGGGACGGAGAAGGCUAUGUUGGCCGGGCGACGGUUGUCCCGGUUUAAGCGUGUAGGUGUGUGUUCCAGGUAAAUCCGGUUCACUUUAACACUGAGGCGUGACGACGAGGCACUACGGUGCUGAAGCAACAAAUGCCCUGCUUCCAGGAAAAGCCUCUAAGCAUCAGGUAACACGAAAUCGUACCCCAAACCGACACAGGUGGUCAGGUAGAGAAUACCAAGGCGCUUGAGAGAACUCGGGUGAAGGAACUAGGCAAAAUGGUGCCGUAACUUCGGGAGAAGGCACGCUGACACGUAGGUGAAGUGAUUUACUCAUGGAGCUGAAGUCAGUCGAAGAUACCAGCUGGCUGCAACUGUUUAUUAAAAACACAGCACUGUGCAAACACGAAAGUGGACGUAUACGGUGUGACGCCUGCCCGGUGCCGGAAGGUUAAUUGAUGGGGUCAGCGCAAGCGAAGCUCCUGAUCGAAGCCCCGGUAAACGGCGGCCGUAACUAUAACGGUCCUAAGGUAGCGAAAUUCCUUGUCGGGUAAGUUCCGACCUGCACGAAUGGCGUAAUGAUGGCCAGGCUGUCUCCACCCGAGACUCAGUGAAAUUGAACUCGCUGUGAAGAUGCAGUGUACCCGCGGCAAGACGGAAAGACCCCGUGAACCUUUACUAUAGCUUGACACUGAACAUUGAGCCUUGAUGUGUAGGAUAGGUGGGAGGCUUUGAAGUGUGGACGCCAGUCUGCAUGGAGCCGACCUUGAAAUACCACCCUUUAAUGUUUGAUGUUCUAACGUGGACCCGUGAUCCGGGUUGCGGACAGUGUCUGGUGGGUAGUUUGACUGGGGCGGUCUCCUCCUAAAGAGUAACGGAGGAGCACGAAGGUUGGCUAAUCCUGGUCGGACAUCAGGAGGUUAGUGCAAUGGCAUAAGCCAGCUUGACUGCGAGCGUGACGGCGCGAGCAGGUGCGAAAGCAGGUCAUAGUGAUCCGGUGGUUCUGAAUGGAAGGGCCAUCGCUCAACGGAUAAAAGGUACUCCGGGGAUAACAGGCUGAUACCGCCCAAGAGUUCAUAUCGACGGCGGUGUUUGGCACCUCGAUGUCGGCUCAUCACAUCCUGGGGCUGAAGUAGGUCCCAAGGGUAUGGCUGUUCGCCAUUUAAAGUGGUACGCGAGCUGGGUUUAGAACGUCGUGAGACAGUUCGGUCCCUAUCUGCCGUGGGCGCUGGAGAACUGAGGGGGGCUGCUCCUAGUACGAGAGGACCGGAGUGGACGCAUCACUGGUGUUCGGGUUGUCAUGCCAAUGGCACUGCCCGGUAGCUAAAUGCGGAAGAGAUAAGUGCUGAAAGCAUCU